rnacentral:ncRNA from 1 species
CAAAGUUUUGGUCCUAAACUUGCCCUUGUUUUUUAUCAAAAUUACACAUGCGAGCCUCCGCGCACCAGUGAGAAUGCCCACAAAACCCAAACAGACACCCGGAGCAGGUAUCAGGUUCAGCCCAAUAUAGCCUACAACACCUUGCUAUGCCACCCCCCCACGGGCACUCAGCAGUGAUUAACAUUAAGACAUAAGCGAAAGCUUGACCUGGUUAUGAUUAAUAAGGUCGGUAAAUUUCGUGCCAGCCACCGCGGUUAUACGAAAGACCUAAAACAAAGGCCUCCGGCGUAAAGCGUGACCCGAGAUUAGCCUAACAAUAUUAAAGAAAAACGCCAAUAACAGCCGUAAAACGCCAACGCAAGUAAGAACAACAAAAUCUUUAAGAAUAGGGCUACCCAACAUCACGAAAGCUGAGGAACAAACUGGGAUUAGAUACCCCACUAUGCCCAGCCAUAAACAAAGACAAUACUGACACCAGAUUGUUCGCCAGAGAACUACAAGAAAAACCUCGAAACUCCAAGGACUUGGCGGUGCUCCACAUCAGCCUAGAGGAGCCUGUCCUAUAAUCGAUACUCCACGAUAUACCCAACCAUCCUUUGCCCCCCAGCCUAUAUACCGCCGUCGUCAGCCUACCUUAUGAGAGAGAGACAGUAAGCAAGACAGUUAACAACUAACACGUCAGGUCAAGGUGUAGCACAUGAGAUGGAAGAGAUGGGCUACAUUUUCUACCACAGAACACACGAAUGACACAGUGAAACCUGCACCUGAAGGUGGAUUUAGCAGUAAGAUUAGUAAGAAACCAAAUCUAAAAAUCGCUCUGGAGCGCGCACACACCGCCC